rnacentral:lncRNA from 1 species
GGGGAUCCUGCCACGGAUCCUGCUGGGCGCGCGGGGGAUCGUUUGUGGACAGGCGGCGGGAGGCGGCGGAAGGUGUCGGCGAGAAGGAAGCUGAAGCACGGAGAUGCAUCUGUUGCCAUUGAAGAUCCUUCCCCAAAAAGCUGUGUGACUGGGGGAAAAACACUCUUGAGUUGCCAUGGCAGAAGAAGAUGGGGCUAAAUUCCAGACGUGAAUUGUAUGAGUAACUCAUUAGAACUUUCUAAUUUUUACCUAGGGUAGGGUGGAUCUGUGUAGUCUUCUGCAGUUGAUACCUUUCACAAGCAAUAGUAUUUCUGGUUAUCGAGCAGAGCUAGCAAAAGCUAAUUUUAGUCUAGAUCUUAAUCUCACUUUAGAAUUAACAGAAAUGAACUUUAUUUAAAAAGUUCAGCUUAAAUGAGAGAUUCUGCAGCCCACCUCUCCUCAUUACAAAGAAGUGCUGGAAUGUAGCUUGCUGUGCCUAAAAUUAGCCUUGAUUGCUUCUGUACAAAUGCGGCUGGGAUGACUAGCUUGUUUUCUGCUGCUUUCGGGGAUCUUCCACUGCUCCUGUCUUUGGGCUGUUGCAAAGUCUUAAGCAAUUCUAAUAACGUUCUUGGUAGUUAUAUGGCUGUGCUGCACUCUGUUAGGUGGCUGAUGUUACCACAGUACUGUUAGAUCCGAUGAUGUGCGCAUUUAGUGGUGGUGCUUCUGCUGUUUAGGUGUGUUAGAAGGGUGGCUGCAAGGAGUACACGUGUACUGCAUAAGCUGAAGGUAAGUUUGUGAAGUCUAGAGAAUGAAUGUGAUAUCUACAGUAAAUCAUUCAAAUGUAUGAAUAAGUCAAUAAAGAGA